rnacentral:rRNA from 1 species
CCUACGGGAGGCAGCAGUAGGGAAUAUUGGACAAUGGGCGCAAGCCUGAUCCAGCCAUGCCGCGUGAGUGAAGAAGGCCCUCGGGUUGUAAAGCUCUUUUGUCCGGAAAGAAAAGCGUUGGGUUAAUACCCCGGCGUCCUGACGGUACCGGAAGAAUAAGCACCGGCUAACUUCGUGCCAGCAGCCGCGGUAAUACGAAGGGUGCAAGCGUUACUCGGAAUUACUGGGCGUAAAGCGUGCGUAGGUGGUUCGUUAAGUCUGAUGUGAAAGCCCUGGGCUCAACCUGGGAAUGGCAUUGGAUACUGGCGGGCUAGAGUGCGGUAGAGGGCAGUGGAAUUCCCGGUGUAGCAGUGAAAUGCGUAGAGAUCGGGAGGAACAUCUGUGGCGAAGGCGACUGCCUGGACCAGCACUGACACUGAGGCACGAAAGCGUGGGGAGCAAACAGGAUUAGAUACCCCAGUAGUC